UACGGAGGGUGCAAGCGUUAUCCGGAUUCACUGGGUUUAAAGGGUGCGUAGGUGGCUUUGUAAGUCAGUGGUGAAAUAUUGCGGCUCAACCGCAAAACUGCCAUUGAUACUGCUUAGCUUGAAUCACGUCGAGGUGGAUGGAAUAAUACAUGUAGCGGUGAAAUGCUUAGAUAUGUAUUAGAACACCGAUUGCGAAGGCAGUUCACUAGGCGUGUAUUGACACUGAGGCUCGAAAGCGUGGGGAUCAAACAGG
rnacentral:rRNA from 1 species